CAGAUUUAUGUUUCCGUAGUGUGGGAGCUUUGUUCUUUCACUGUUUGCGGUGCCAUUCCAUAUAAAGUGAAGGAUAACGGCUACAGCAUUUUUUGUUAGACUUGGACAAUGUUGAAUGUACUACAGAAGCAUACUUUAAGGCUCCAGAGAGAGACAAGGAGAUGAGGAGACAAGCAGACGAACAGCGGAACAAUGCAGCAGAGAAAGAGAGAAGAGAAGGAACGUCUGAACGUCGAGAGGAGUUCGGCUGCUGGACGGCCAAACUCCAGGGGAAGAUCAUCUUCCCACUCCAUUCCCCCUCCAGCUCCCCAUCCAUCCCACUGAGAGCCACUUCCACCACUCAAUAAAAGCCCCACAUUUAUCCUUCAAGUCCAUGUGUGAUCCAAUUCUUCUGGGAUGCUAAACAAGAACCUGGGAUACAGAAAGCUGUCACACUGGCCCUCUGCCCUUGCAGAAAGGCAGAGGGGCCCUGAGCUGGUUGAUACUUAAGCUGUCUGUGGAUGGCAGAACUAAAAGAGCAUUGG
rnacentral:lncRNA from 10 species